GUGUAUGAACCUUGGGAUUCUGAAAUUUUCCUCCAGCUCCAUUUGGUGCAUAGUUCACACUGUUAUAUGGUGCUGUUGCAGCAGAAGGAAGUACAUACGCAUACGGAACACCAUGAAAACCAGAGAAGAAAACACCUAAAAGUUUGAGUUAAUGAGAUCUUACUAGAUAAUAACUUUUGCCAUAACAUCAGAAAAAUUAACUACUAUGAUACUUCAAAAAAAUCUGAAUCUUUUUCGUUUUUUUAUUAAAAAAAAAAGCUAAGAAACUGAAUAAUGAUUCCUGCAACAUUAGAACAUGCAAUCACUUGUCCUGAAUUUCCAUAGAUAUAACCAAAUUAGAAUACACAGUUUAAAAAAUUAUCAGUCAUAAGAUUAUCCUAUCUUCCCUUCUUUGCGUUAAAGUUUAACUUCAAUUUAAAAGUUCAAUUACUUUUUUUGAAGAAAAAAAUGAGUUCAAUUAGCUUUGGCCUAGGAGAGGUCGAAUCUAUGUCUUUUGGUAGGUUCAUUUUUAAAGUUUAAUCAUGUAAUAAAUAACCUUAACUUCUUUAUAGAAAAAGUUGGAGUUUCACAUUCAAAAAGUACAUUUUUUUUUGGGAUUAGGAUCCUAUAAUUUUUGUUUCCACUUUUUACCUGCAUUCUCUCUAAAAGAUAAAAACCAUCCUUUUUUUUUUUUACAUGUAUGCUUAUGAACUACGUAAUAUACAAGAAGUUACGAUCUUUUUCUUUUUCUUUAAUGCCAAUUUGCAGUAAAUUAUAAUUUAGUGCUUUGGAUACUUAAAAACAUUCCUGAAAAUGAAACCAAAAGGAAAUAUGUCAGCACUUCCAGCUCCAACCAACAGUUACUUUAAAAUAGGCAGAAAAUCCACUAGUCACAUCACUUUAUGUUUAAACCAAUUAAAUGCAGCAAAACAUGAUAAUGAACAUAAUAUGCUAGAAAGUUAGCUUUUCCCACUUCAUUGUAGAGCCAGC
rnacentral:lncRNA from 1 species